rnacentral:misc_RNA from 1 species
GAUGAAGAACGCAGCAAAAUGCGAUAAGUAAUGUGAAUUGCAGAAUUCAGUGAACCAUCGAAUCUUUGAACGCACAUUGCGCCCGCUGGUAUUCCGGCGGGCAUGCCUGUUCGAGCGUCAUUUCAACCCUCAAGCCCCCGGGUUUGGUGUUGGGGAUCGGCUCUGCCCUUCUGGGCGGUGCCGCCCCCGAAAUACAUUGGCGGUCUCGCUGCAGCCUCCAUUGCGUAGUAGCUAACACCUCGCAACUGGAACGCGGCGCGGCCAUGCCGUAAAACCCCAACUUCUGAAUGUUGACCUCGGAUCAGGUAGGAAUACCCGCUGAACUUAAGCAUAUCAAUAAGCGGAGGA